GCGAAUUGGCCCUGUGCAGGUGGGCCGGUGCAUCCGGCCCAGGGAACACGGUGAGGACGGCCGCGGAGCGGCUGGACGAAUCCGAGGCUGCCCCCGCAACUGUGAGCGGUGAGCCAACCGUCGAUACGCCACUGGAGGUCCAGCUCUGGGAAGGCGGCGGCAGGCGAUGACCCGCGAGCCAGGAGACCGACCUGUGCGAGUCACCUUCC
rnacentral:ncRNA from 1 species